CACAAAUGAUGAUUAUAAGGGAC
rnacentral:piRNA from 1 species